GGUUUCGUAGCUCAGCUGGUAGAGUGCUUACCGCUUUUGGGCAUGGUGUUUCUGUAGCUGGUUUGAAUCCAGCUGAAGUCU